ensembl:snoRNA
AGUCUCAUUCUAGAUUAGAAUGGGCACUAUUGAUUGAUGUCCCAAAUUGGUCAAUGUGGCUAAAACUGAGACACAGGUCACGCUUCCAUAAUAGUAAAUGUACUGCAGAGGUGACAGUGAGACCCAUAAUGUUU